ACAGUAAGUCAUAGUCUAUCAUACAACUAGUAACUCCACAACCAUGUUGGUCAAUACCAACUAUCUAACUCCUCUUCUUUUUAAUUCCCUUUCCCUUUCUCACUCUAUAUUUCCCUACCUCUCCUUUGGUGAUGACAUACUUUUUUGUCAUAUUACAAUAUCUCUUGCUUUCAAGAUUCAUCCUGAAUUGGUAGCAGGAUUUUUACUUGGUCUUCCAGAGCUUCAUUUGAUCCACCAGUAUACAGGAUUAGUGCCCUUGAAUGAUAAAUGUUAACAGAUUGGUGUCAUUAAUGUUAAUAAUCUGAUAUUAAAUUGAUGUCAAGUAUCAUUUAAGGUCCAUCAAACAUUGAUGAUAAUAUAUAAUGUCAAAAUAAGCUAAAAGAACAUCAUUAUUUAAAUCAUGAUGAAACUUGUCUAUCAGUCUCUAGAAACUUGCAGAUGCAUUUUUGAAACCAAAUAACGUUAUGAAUGUGAUUUUAUCUGUAUUUUUAACAUUUGCACUCGAUGGUAUCCAAAACAUAUAUUAAAGUACAAAAUGAACAUUCAUUAAGUAAAUCAUCUAUACAAGACCAUGGAUAUGAAUCACUAACUAUGAUUGCAUUGAGAUGUUAAUAAUCAAAACCUAGGAUUACUGCCUGUUUUAGGUACAAGAAUAAUGUGUGUCCCAGGAUGAUUUGCACUCAAUUAUUUUUCUGAAAAAGUUUGUCCACCACCUCCUCCAGAUAUGUCAGCCUUGCCUUGAAGACAUACAAUAAAAUGAUAUCAUUUUAAUUCGGUUCUGUGUUGAUACAAGUGGUAUCAAUUUCUCACUUUCUUCAGAGACUUCCUUAUUGACUUUAAAUACUCCACUCAAACAGCUUUAAUUUUCUACUAACAAGAACUGUCCUCUUUCGGCACAUAAAUACUCAACCAUUGAUAGCAAGUCUUUUCAAUGAAUAUGGCCCACAAUUUUUGAAAUACAAUUCAUGAUGAAUGUUCAAAAAUAUCAGAAAGACACCAUACUUGAUUUGUCACAUCAAAAAACAAUCUUAUAUCUAUAUUAGGCUGAAGUAUGGCACAGCAUGACCUUAUGUGAUUAUUAAAUACUUGUCAUCAAUUCCUAACAAAGUUACAUUGCAUUCUUUAGAAAGCAGAAUGUAUGUAAUGGCAAUUGGCAAAGUCAUGUUCUGCCAAUUGACUUUGGUUAUGAGAAUGAUUUGUGUUUUUAAAUGUCUAUCAGCUAGGCUUAAAAGACUUCUGAUCUUUGUUUAAUAAAAUUUUAUAUAACAACUGGAAAGCGUGAUUUAUUCAGUAGACUUUUAGGUUGUUGUAUUAAUUUAUAGUGAAAUAUACCAAAUAUUGUUGACGAAGUAUUGUUGUGCCAAAUUCUGUUGUCACAAAUGCAAGGGAGCUGCAAUUCAAAAUGGCUACCUUUACAGGAGCAGAACAUAUUCUGUUUGUUUUGGUUUGAAGAACCUCACUUAUAUGAAGAUGACCAAGAAUUCAUUCUCUUUCAGCAAGACACUGUACCACCUCACUAUCCUACAGAAGUCUGGGAUUUCUUUGAUUCAUUUAUAUUUUUUCACUCCAUGUCUCCAUUUGGCAGCAUAGACAAUCCAUGCAACACAUUUUUGUCUGAAAUUUGAAUAGUCUUUAUAGUUUUCUAUGGAAUCAGUGCAGUUACUUUAACUUCUUCUAUGCUUUCAAAUCUAAAACAACUCUCUGAAAAAUUUCCUGUCUGGGCAGGAUCAAAUAUUCUAUAUUCCUUUGAGGGAGUAGCAUUAAUUCAGAUUUUCCAAUGGUUUUUGAAAUUAUUUAGUAAUUAAUAUGGUAGACUGUGCCAUUUUUCCCAGAAUCUAUUAAUGUGUGAUGAUUGCAUAACCAAUAUCCGGAUAAGCUGCACUUAUCUAUGAUUUCUAUAAAAGAUCCGAAGUUUCUAAAUGGCAGUAAGGUAAUGAUAGACAAUAUAUUAAAUAUAAAUGUUAGAAUUAAUGAGAUUAAAUGGC
rnacentral:lncRNA from 1 species